GCUCAGCGCUGGGAACUCCGGUAGCGGGUUUCCGCGACCGCGCCGCCUCCUCGCGGCAGCUGUGCGAAGGCGGCAGGAGCCAGCCAGCCAGUCGGCCCCGAAGGAGGCGUGGACAUGACGCCGGGAGCCGACGAGCCCGGAGCCCGCGCUGUCGCCUAGGGCGCCCCGGGGGCUCCGCGGACGGGUGGGGCUGGGGCUGGACGCGGCCCAGCACUGUGCGGAUGGCCGUGCUUCCGCGGACCGCACUUGUCUUCCUGCUCCUGCUGGCCGCCCCUGUCAGGUGCCAGGAGCAGGAUCAGACCACCGACUGGAGGGCCACCCUGAAGACCAUCCGGAACGGCAUUCACAAGAUAGACACGUACCUGAACGCCGCCUUGGACCUCCUGGGAGGCGAGGACGGGCUCUGCCAAUACAAGUGCAGCGACGGAUCUAAGCCUUUUCCACGUUAUGGUUAUAAACCCUCCCCUCCAAAUGGAUGUGGCUCUCCACUGUUUGGUGUUCAUCUUAACAUUGGCAUCCCUUCCCUUACAAAGUGCUGCAACCAACACGACAGGUGUUAUGAGACCUGUGGCAAGAGCAAGAAUGACUGUGACGAGGAAUUCCAGUAUUGCCUCUCCAAGAUCUGCCGAGAUGUGCAAAAAACACUAGGAUUAACUCAGCAUGUUCAGGCAUGUGAAACAACAGUGGAGCUCUUGUUUGACAGUGUAAUUCAUCUAGGCUGUAAACCGUAUCUGGACAGCCAGCGAGCUGCAUGUUGGUGUCGUUAUGAAGAAAAAACUGAUCUUUAAAGAAGAUUCUGACAUUUGGAGGCAAAUGAGGAUGAAAGAAUAUAACCUUUGCCAAAAAAACCCUAAUGUUUUCACAGCAUAAGCUGCCUUAUUUUUGUGAAAGGGUCAGUUUAAGACCUUACAAGACUACAUUACAACGUUAAAACCUCAAAGUAAAAAAAAAAAAAAAAAAAAAAAAUGCCUUCUCAAGUGUCUUCCUGGACAUUGCUGCCUUACUGGACAAAUUCUUGAUCAAUCUCAAAACCAGGUCCAAUCUAGGAUACCACAUUGCAUUAGGCAUGAGUCAUGAUGCCAAAUUAGCCUCUGGUCUGUGGUGGUUCCUCAGUCUUUUCUUGUUUUGCAUAACCCUGACAGUUUUAAGGAAUACUGGUCAAGUGUUUGUGGAGUGUCCCUUCCUCUGGGUUUAUAUGAUGUUUUCCUCAUGAUUAGACUGGGGUUAUGGAUUUUUAGGAAGAAUACCACAGAGAUAAAGGGUCCUUCAUAAUGCAUCCUAUCAGGAGUUACAUGCUACCAACUUAUUGUAUUAACUUUGGACAUUCAGCUAAGGUCUUAGGUAAGAAGUUCGGUUUCUCCAAUAUAAGUUACUAUUUUCCUCUUUUGAUAUUUUGUUUUUUGGGAGCCAGUCACCAAGUCCAGUCCUGUGGGCAAGUCCAGUAGCCGGUGGGCAGGGUUAUGUUCAACCUCCUAGAAGGGGGACCAUCUGAAUGUAGUACUUGGAAUUCUGUAGGAAGGAUUUGUCUCCCCUCCACCUCAAUUUGAUUACUUAUUCAAUAUGUGUAUCAGUAAAGACUCAUGUAUUUAUUUUAUACUUUGGGUGAUAUUUUUUUGCUCAUUGUUCCAUCUUGAUUAUUGGAAAUUGUGUUAGGUUGGCUGCUUUGUCCCUUUGACAAAUCCUCUUGAUUUUUUAGCACUGCCUUAUUCUCUGGCACUACAAGAUGCCCUGAGCUCAUCUUUUAUAUUCCUUGCCUCAGCCCUAGAAUCAGCCCUUCUCUAAGGAACCUACUUCCUUUUGUUAGUACUUCAAAACCAAGAUCUGGGCCUACGAUCCAACAUGCUGACUACACCUGAUCUUGCUAGCUAAGCAGAAUUAGAUGUGGUUAGUAUUGGAUGAAGAAACCAAAAUCUGGACACUGGAAGUGCUUCUUACUAUUGGGACAUCACUACCUCUUGACAUCCCAGUAGACAAAGCUAGAAAAAUGUAUGUAUAUUAAUCCAUGUAUAUGUACGUGUCUAUAAUUAUUUGUGUGUGUGUAUUAAGCUCAACACAAGUUUGUACUAUAUUCAACUUGAAUCUAGGGCAUAUAUUUAGAUUUCAGUGUUGCUAUUUUUCCUGUUCACUGACUAAAUUCAUAAAAAGAUAGGCAAAAAAAAAAAAAAAUCAAAAGCCCAACCAAAUUUUAGCAGCUCUUUGCAAAAAAUAUAA